rnacentral:rRNA from 1 species
UACGGGGGGGGCAAGCGUUGUUCGGAAUUACUGGGCGUAAAGGGCUCGUAGGCGGCCAACGUAAGUCGACGUGAAAUCCCUCGGCUUAACCGGGGAACUGCGUCUGAUACUGGAUGGCUUGAGGUUGGGAGAGGGAUGCGGAAUUCCAGGUGUAGCGGUGAAAUGCGCAGAUAUCAGGAAGAACACCCGUGGCGAAGGCGGCUCUCUGGGACGGUACUGACGCUGAGACGCGAAAGCGUGGGGGAGCGAACAGG